AUAUUUGCUGCCGUUAUGUCAUGAAAAAUGCUGUAUCUCUUGAUCUUUUUAAGAUUAUGAUUUUUGUAGAUCCCAGCUAGUACCAAAAACGUAGGAUGACAGGUUGCCAAAAGCUAGAAAUUUAAACCAGAGGCAGAGACAAGAUUUAGGCAAAGCAGAAAAUUAGACGCAGCACCGGACCCAGGAUGGGCGUGGUCCUGGUCCAGACGAGAAGAGGACCAGUCGCCUCCGGCCAAUCAGAGCACGCCCUGCGCUCCGGCCCCUGGCCCCGCCCCCUUCCUCCCCGCGCCUUUUCGAAUCUCCCCGAACUCUCAACACCCCAGAGCCCGCGCGCGUGGGAAGGGGAGGGGUGGGCGGGGCUAACGGUCCAAUCCGGGUAACUCCGCCCCUGCCUGACUCCCCCCGCGCAGACGCCCCCCCCCAACUCCCGCCAAAAACACCUCCAGGCCGCCGCCACCACCCCCGUCACAGUUCACCGGGUGGGGCAGGCCCUGGGAACAGGCCCCCGGGUGGCCCCGCGGUGGGCUCGUCACCGCCUCCCGCCGUCCCUAUGCCCAGCCUGCCGCCAUCCAAGCUGUCCGCCCGUCCGGCCGCGAAGACAGAAGAACCCUCGCGGGGACCGGGAGCGCCGCCCCUCAGUCACCAGCUGCGGUCGCCAGGGGACGGUCGCGGGGAGGGUCGCGUCCCUGGCUGCCCGCAGUUUGGCCCUAAAGCCGCUGGUCCCGGGGGGCGCCGCCCCGUCCCUUCAGACAAUGGGGACCCCGGCGGGGCCCGCAGGGAAGAGAGGGAGUGAGCCCACAGGUCGCGGGCGUGUCCCUUCCCUCGCUGUGUGCGUUCUUGCCAGCAUCCUCAGGUUCCCGAGCCGGUGACCAGGGACCUGUGCGGGAAAGCGUGAGGCUCUGGAAUUUGAUCGCCUUUGGUCUAACAAAGCCACUCAGCUUCAAUGCAGACUCCAUCUGUUCUGCCAAGCCUUCCGCGGAUGAUAGGGGAGGAAGAGCAAUAGUCGUUCUAGACUACACAGAUUGCAGUUAAGUGUUGCUUUUGUUCUCAGAGCACGUGCUCCCCAGAGCAGCACUGGGUUCCUUUUAAAAAUCAAAAAAGGAGCCACAAGGUCGCUGUUCCCCCUGACCUGGAUAGCUCAGAACCUCAGCAGAGGCACAAAGGAAAUCGGUCUGACUGAGGCUUAGAAUAACUGGCCCUUUCUCCCACAAGAAGAGGGAAAAAAAUAAAUGAAAUGUACAUGGUCCCCGCCUCCUCCCAUUCUCUGACCAAGACUGUGUCCUCCGUUGGUGGUCAAUACACCAAGGCACCUGCUUUGAGAUCUUGACUAAACAGAAGAGGUAUAUUUAUUUUAUUAAUGGGCUGCAUCUCCCCAAAUCAAGAAAUAAAUAUGACCAACCUUCCUGAAACAGCCGUUCUAAUUUAGAAAGACUCUCAUGCCUAGUUAGCCACUAGGCAUGUGCCAGAGAUAAAAUACAACUAAGAGGUGCCCGAGACAAUAAAAACUGGAUCAUACAAGCAGCAGCACACUACACAAAGCAAACAAUUAGCAAUGCGCUGUUGCCUGAAAUAUGCUUGUUGCGGCACUUUUUCCAACAAUCGCCCUUGUGUGGGGUCGGCCUCCCCCCGAAGCCAAUCUAAGUGGUUUUCACUUAGCCUGUGAGCAGGACCAGGAAUAAUUCAGAUUCUGAGCAUUGAAAGGCUUCUCAGACCAAAUUUGGCUUCAAAAUGGCUAGGUGCUUCCAUCUGUCAUUUUUCUGAACAGAGUCUCAGAAAUCAUUAGAAAAGUUGGAGAGGGAUGGGGAUGAGACCCCUCAGGAAAGUGACAGAUAGGCAGGCAACACAAAUGAGCAAGGAACCCAAGCCCAAGAGGUCCUUACCCACUAAACAGGCUUUUUAUCUUGAAGUCUUUGUAUUUGAUCUGGAGGUUCACGGAGGAAAGUCCCACUCAUUUAAUGCAUUUUUUUAAGUACAAUAAAUUGCCACACAAAAAUCUCACAUUCCUAACUAUUAAUGUUGUGACAGAAAAAGGAAAUAAAUCUUUCAAAACACUGAUUAUUUUAAAGCACUUACACUGCUUCCCCCCACCUUUUCUUUCUCCCUAGAGCAGAUGUCUAUUUCCAUGGAAACCAUAGCAAGGAACGUAGAUGUUAGAACUCAUGUCAAUUUUUAAUCUUUUUUAGCAAUGCCACUUGGCUUCUGGGUUUGUUGGGAGAUGCCUGGUUCGGCCAGUCUGUGACAAUGUCCCGAGCUCCUCACAGCUGCUUGAGGACUGAGAGGGCUGGGUUAAAGUUUCCCCUAGAAUGAGCCUAUGAAUAAAAAGGUGCUUUUGA